ACCCGAAACCAGGUGAUCUACCCUUGGUCAGGUUGAAGUUCAGGUAACACUGAAUGGAGGACCGAACCGACUUACGUUGAAAAGUGAGCGGAUGAACUGAGGGUAGCGGAGAAAUUCCAAUCGAACCUGGAGAUAGCUGGUUCUCUCCGAAAUAGCUUUAGGGCUAGCCUCAAGUGAUGAUUAUUGGAGGUAGAGCACUGUUUGGACGAGGGGCCCCUCUCGGGUUACCGAAUUCAGACAAACUCCGAAUGCCAAUUAAUUUAACUUGGGAGUCAGAACAUGGGUGAUAAGGUCCGUGUUCGAAAGGGAAACAGCCCAGACCACCAGCUAAGGUCCCAAAAUAUAUGUUAAGUGGAAAAGGAUGUGGCGUUGCCCAGACAACUAGGAUGUUGGCUUAGAAGCAGCCAUCAUUUAAAGAGUGCGUAAUAGCUCACUAGUCGAGUGACACUGCGCCGAAAAUGUACCGGGGCUAAACAUAUUACCGAAGCUGUGGAUUGUCCUUUGGACAAUGGUAGGAGAGCGUUCUAAGGGCGUUGAAGCAUGAUCGUAAGGACAUGUGGAGCGCUUAGAAGUGAGAAUGCCGGUGUGAGUAGCGAAAGACGGGUGAGAAUCCCGUCCACCGAUUGACUAAGGUUUCCAGAGGAAGGCUCGUCCGCUCUGGGUUAGUCGGGUCCUAAGCUGAGGCCGACAGGCGUAGGCGAUGGAUAACAGGUUGAUAUUCCUGUACCACCUAUAAUCGUUUUAAUCGAUGGGGGGACGCAGUAGGAUAGGCGAAGCGUGCGAUUGGAUUGCACGUCUAAGCAGUAAGGCUGAGUAUUAGGCAAAUCCGGUACUCGUUAAGGCUGAGCUGUGAUGGGGAGAAGACAUUGUGUCUUCGAGUCGUUGAUUUCACACUGCCGAGAAAA
rnacentral:rRNA from 1 species